AAACAUUGGAAACGAAAACCAAUUAAAAAAACAGGCGAAACCUGAAAAGCCUUAUGAGUAGGGACUAUA
rfam:Flavobacterium sp. MedPE-SWcel Flavobacterium-sp-MedPE-SWcel-C3, whole genome shotgun sequence.